UACGGGGGGGGCAAGCGUUGUUCGGAAUUACUGGGCGUAAAGGGCUCGUAGGCGGCCAACUAAGUCAGACGUGAAAUCCCUCAGCUUAACUGGGGAACUGCGUCUGAUACUGGAUGGCUUGGAUUCGGGAGAGGAAUGCGGAAUUCCAGGUGUAGCGGUGAAAUGCGCGAUAUCGAGGAGAACCGAUGCCGGAGGCGGAAGCUGGUCGUCC
rnacentral:rRNA from 1 species